UCCCUGGUGGCUCAGACGGUAAAGCAUCAGUCUACAAUGCAGGAGACCUGGGUUCGAGCCCUAGGUUGGGAA
rfam:Ovis aries breed Texel chromosome 7, whole genome shotgun sequence.